UACGAAGGCUGCAAGCGUUAUCCGGAUUUAUUGGGUUUAAAGGGCGCGUAGGCGGUCUUAUAAGUCAGUGGUGAAAUCUCGUUGCUUAACAACGACCGUGCCAUUGAUACUGUAGGACUUGAGUACAGUUGCCGUUGGCGGAAUGUGUCAUGUAGCGGUGAAAUGCAUAGAUAUGACACAGAACACCGAGUGCGAAGGCAGCUGACGAAACUGUAACUGACGCUGAGGCUCGAAAGCGUGGGGAUCAAACAGG
rnacentral:rRNA from 1 species